rnacentral:rRNA from 1 species
AGCGAACGCUGGCGGCAGGCCUAACACAUGCAAGUCGAACGGACCCUUCGGGGUUAGUGGCGGACGGGUGAGUAACACGUGGGAACGUGCCUUUAGGUUCGGAAUAGCUCCUGGAAACGGGUGGUAAUGCCGAAUGUGCCCUUCGGGGGAAAGAUUUAUCGCCUUUAGAGCGGCCCGCGGCUGAUUAGCUAGUUGGUGAGGUAAUGGCUCACCAAGGCGACGAUCAGUAGCUGGUCUGAGAGGAUGACCAGCCACAUUGGGACUGAGACACGGCCCGCAGUCCUACGGGGGGCGGCAGCGUGGGAUCUUGCGAUAUGGGCGAAAGCCUGACGCAGGCAGGUCGCGUGAAUGAUGAAGGUCUUAGGAUUGUAAAAUUCUUUCACCGGGGACGAUAAUGACGGUACCCCGAGAAGAAGCCCCAGCUAACUUCUUGCCAGCCGCCGCAGUAAGAC